ensembl:lncRNA
GAGAAAGAUCCAACACCUCUUUUAAAAUUAUGAAUUAUUUUUCAAGCAAAGAUCUUCUUUUGCAAAUUGCAUCUGCAGAAAAGAUCUGAAAGUAGCCAGGGAUGUUUUGUUGACAGAAUGGUUUGAGUCAUUUGACAGAAUAUUUUUCUUUUAUCAACAGAAUCAAAUUAGGGCUUCAACCAAAUUAAUUUUGUUUUGUAUGCAAGUCCUGCCUGACAGGAUAUAUUCAAAGAAAGAGAAAAACACUCUGGAUAUAAAAAAUGUGUCAAUUAGAAGACAGGAGCAUGAAGUCUCCAUAACAAAUUGUUCACUAAAGGGUAAGAAGUGAGUUUCCAGCAUAGAAAGCUUUGUUAAAGAUAUGUUUUGUUUUGAUUUUUUUUUUUUUUUAAUUAAGAAAUCUUGACAGCUUUGUCAACAACAAGAAGUCUUUGCUGUUACUUGUUUCAAGUACUUUUUCCCAAUAUUUAUUAGACACAGGGCAAAAUUCUAGGGAGAACAGAGGAAAGGUAUUUUGAUCACUGCUUCUCAAUUGUAAACACACACAUUUCUCUGGGCUUCUUUUCACUUUGAGACAAAACACUUAGGAAAAAAAUGCAGCAACCUUGUAGGCAGUAGUUAUUUCAUAGGCAAAAAAAGCAACAGCAUAUUAAAAUCUAUUUAACUAAAGAAAGAAACUGGAAUUACCAGUCAGGGGGGAUCAGGAAGGCAUGUGCUGGCCUUGCAGAUUUGAGCAUUCUUGUAUCAGUGAGCAGUGAAAACAUUGAACAACCUUUGGAAAUAGAUGGCAUCUGGGGCAGAGAUAAACUGAGUUUAUCACAGAAAAAGGUUGGAGUUCCAGCAGCAUGUCCAGAACUGGUAUUGGAUCUGCAGCAUUCUACCACCACAAAUAUCUGAGCAAGCUUAGAGAAGGGAGAAGGACUACUAUCAAUAUUUUAUUGUUGUAAUUGCUGUUUCAUUCUGUGAUAGCCUCACCAUCCUCCAGACACUCCCUGGGCCCUCAUCUUUUCUGGAAAAUGUCUGCUGCUUAUCCAUACAGAACUUUUGGGAUGUAAACAGCACCUCUGCCAAUAUUACUUGCAGUUUGGAGCAGGGAUUGAGGGUGUUUUACCAGAGCUGAUUUUCUGCUGCUUUCCAAUCCAUCUGCAAAGCUCAGUUUUCCUUCCAAGAGCACUUCAAAAUGUGUUUCCCUUUAAGCAUGAAUUUCACCCAGUGGAAUGCCAAACAUGCAGAAUUCCCAUCCCAGGGCUUUUACAAACUUCACCUCGUGUUCUGCAGCAUCUCAGUGAAAUAAGCAGCCUGAGAACUAUAAAUGACUGAGGUUCAGAUCAUGGAGAGGGCUUUAGUUGUUCUGGGCCUCUGCUAGAGGGGGAGCAAAAUCCUGCAGGGACUUUUAAACACCUUGGAGAGGUCUGGAGGAAAAUGUUUGCCAGCUUUGCACUGAAAUGUGUGACAGAAAUGUGCACACAAAGUGACCCUGUUAAACCUGACUGUGCCUGCAGCGGGGGAGUGUGCAGAGAAACGUGUCAGCAAUUCUGUGUGACAGCAAAUCCACGCUGGCUGGAGGCUGGAAGAAUAGA